AGACCGUGAUGAGGACACUUUCAUAAUAGCUCCUUGAAUCUUUCCCAAGUUUCAUAUAAGGAUUCCCCCUCGUCUUGCGAUUAUGUAUUAAUUUCAGUCAUUAAUUU
rfam:Helianthus annuus linkage group 4, whole genome shotgun sequence.